AUCUCUUCCUUCAAAAUUUCAUUUCAACGAUCUAACCUUCUGUUUCCUUCAUUCUUCUUGCCAUGUAAUGUUGGCCUGAUAUUUUAAUUAUGAGUCAAUUCCAUUUCGCAGCAUACAGUUUCAGUAGUUCUACAUCUCCAGCUUCCAUUAGAACUACACCCCAUUUAGUUACAAUUAUACCUGGACUCAAAUGAAUUCAAAAUGGGAGCCUAACUUCUACGCCUAUGUCAGAGAAUGGAGAAGAAAUAAUUGAGGCUAAGGCAGAGAAUCAAGAAAUGUGAAGGAGAUGAAGGUACUCUAAGGUUGGAUCCCAUCGUUUCUAAAUGCGACAAGGCAAAUAGUUGUGUCGGAAGAUGACUACGUGGAUUAUGUUUUACCAAGUUCUUUAGCUCAUGAUGCCUUGAUUCCAUAUUUGUAAGCUUGGGUAGCCAUUUUCCAAGUUAUUUAGCUAAUGAUUCCUUGAUAUCAUAUCAUAUUUGCAAGCUCGGGUAGGCACAGUCCCUCUUACUGGACUGCAUACCAUCUGUUGAAUCUUUUUCAUCAAUUAGUGUAGUCUGUGACCGUUUAUGCACUGAUACGCUAUCUGCAGCUGUUAUUAAUGCAUACUGCAAAACUGAUUCUCAGACUUCCAGCAUUAUUACAUUUUGAUCUUGUCCACUCAUCAAUAAAGCAUACUCUUGGUAUCAACUUUUUGUGUCGGAAGGUGACUGAAUGAGAAUCAGGCGUCUUCGCUAUUGAAUAAUCAUCUUUCAUGUCGUGGUCUUGGUGUAGCUCUAACUUUUUGUCUCAUGUACACUCAAUAUCCAUAAUACUGGUGCUUUUUUUUUUGUCUGUUUAGAAUUGAUUAUUAUUUCCCUCUAUCCAAGCAAAGAGAGGUUGUUUUUUGUCCAAUAAUUUUAGGUAUAUUGAAGAGUAGGUUCCGAGCAUAAUUUUCGACAGACGCAAUCUUGUGGGUAAAGUACACCCACUGCUAGUCUCCGCGGGGGCUCACUGGGCUAUGUCUGUCGGGAUUUUUCUCGGGACCAAUUCUUUGUAUACGUUGAAUUGUUGUUACCAUCCUUGCAUUUUGGAUUUUGGAAUGUUUUGUUACAAAACGAGUUGAAUAUAGUUCUAAGAUGGUUUAUGUUCGCCUUUUCCAUUGUAUCAAUAUUUAUGUUGUAGAAAAAAAAGUUGAAUAGCUAUGACAUGCUAAUCCUCAUAACAACUUAAAAGUGCACCUAGGCACCAUAAGAUUCUUGGCAUGAUUUUUCUUCGAGGGAAGCACAUGAUUUAUAGCCUGUUUGAAUAGUAUUUGACAAGUUGCUUUUCAACUGUUAGAAGUCGAAAAAUCAGAAGUUAAUUUGGCGACAUAAUUUUAAAAUGAUUUCUAGAAGCAAAAAAGUUAUUAGCAUUAGAAGUCAGAAGUGCAUCAAAAGUUAACUUUUUUGCUUCUAGAAGUCGUUUUAAAACUCGAUACCCAAAUUAACUUCUUGCUUUUUGACUUCUAGAAAUCGAAAAGUAACUUCCACACUCAAAACCUUUUUUUUGUGGCAUAAAAUUUUUGUUUCUGACUUCUGCUUGUGCUGAAACAAAAUUUUGACAGUUUUUUAAUUAAUUUUGCUUGCCCUUGAUUUUAAUGAGUAUUAGACCUCAGUUCAAAACAAGAACAAACCUUUUUUUGUAGCAUAAAAUUUUUGUUUCUGACUUCUGCUUCUGCUGAAACAAAAUUUUGACAGUUUUUUAAUUAAUUUUGCUUGAAUGAAUAUGGUGCCAAUGCUUCACUUUAUCAGGUGUUUUCAUACAACAGAUUAGGAUAUCUGAAGUAAAGUGAAGGCUGUAUCAUCCUUUGCAGUUGUGCAUGGCGCAUGCCAAUGGUGCAGCAAUUGAAAACCAACAGAGAUUAGUUUUAUCAAUUGGUAUUGGCCAGACAACUGUAAGGGUGAGGUGGCCACGAAUAACGGGUUUCAUUCAGUUCAGAUCGAACAACAAAAAAACAACACCAAAACAACCCCUCUCACAUUGGAGUGGGAUCUACCCAAAAAGGGAUCCCCUGCUAAGCUUUUGAGGGCAGGUCCCACAUUAAUGUGAGAGGAUUGUUUUUAAGUUGUUUUUUUUUGUUGUUCGUCUAGAAUCACUCUUUCUACUAACUCCAUCUCAUACUUCCGAUUGCAUUUCAUUACUGUUGGUCUUUUUUUUAUGAUGUUUGAUGGAUAAAGAGAGAUUUGGGUUUCUAAAGUAAUUUGCAAAACAAAAAAGGUUAACAGACCGUCUCAAAGACGAGGUAGCUACGGGUCAUGGUGUCUUGCGGGAGUGGCUUCUCUGGGUAUGCCAAGCACUCUUUAGUCCAGAAAAUUAAAAUUCCCUUUUUGUUGAAUGCCCGAAGAACCGCUGCAGAUUCUUUCCCAACCCUGUACAAGUAGGCAUUGCGUGAAGUGCAAGUAGGCAUUGCGUUUGAUCGUGUAUUUUUCUUGCAAUUAGUAGGGGAAAACAUAUCUUUGAAUGACAUGUAAUGCGCAGAUCCAAUCAUGCACAGGAGUUGCAAAAAGAUGCUGGAGAUGGAUGUCAACUUUGUUGAUUCAGAUGCUAUGGGGUUAACAUUUGUCAGGGAAAUUGAAGAGUUCGGAUCCAGGAAAACCAUGGCGCUGUGCUUUGGAUGGAACAACAUUGUUGUCAAUAGUAAGAACAAAAGUAUGUACAUCUUAUUCAGCAUUGCUUCGUCAAAUCAAUCUGAGGUUAGGUUGCCUAUUUUGCAAACGGUCUUGCUGAUAUGCUUUGUAAGCCAAGGCUGGUGAAAAGCUUUUUCCAAGCUAUAGACCUGAAAGGUCUUGAUUGUGCUUUACUUGGAGGUGAUAAUCCUAUUCUUUUAAUAGAUUGGAAAGAGCAUGCCGAGUAGGAAGGCUACACAGAAACCUUGACGAAUAGAUUUGCUGGUUCUGGAAGGUUGUAGAGGCUGUCUAUGGAGCAGCAAGAGGGAGCUUCUUUUAUUUUGGACCUCAUUGAAAUGCCUACAAGUAAAUGGUUUUUCUGGCUUGCCUUGUCUUUUGACCAUAUACGAGACACCUGGUUCUGAUGAGCGCCUUUGUCACUUCCACAUUACCAUCGCACAACAUCAUCUCUCUUUUAAGUAUCUGCCAACAACAUGUAGGCUGUAUUUCUGGGCUUGAGGAACUCAUUUCUGGAUCAACAGGACAACUCGCUGUACCCACGACCCAACCUAUAAUAUGUCCAGCAUUUGUAGUUCUGAAAAUUGAAUAUUCAAUCUGAAUGCUUGAAAUAGUAUUUCAUUUUGUAUUGAAAAAUGCAGCUAGCAUUUUGCAUUCAUGGUUCAUUCGAAUUGACAACUGUUCAGGUAAA